rnacentral:rRNA from 1 species
AUUGAACGCUGGCGGCAUGCCUUACACAUGCAAGUCGAACGGUAACAGGUCUUCGGAUGCUGACGAGUGGCGAACGGGUGAGUAAUACAUCGGAACGUGCCCGAGAGUGGGGGAUAACGAAGCGAAAGCUUUGCUAAUACCGCAUACGAUCUCAGGAUGAAAGCAGGGGACCGCAAGGCCUUGCGCUCACGGAGCGGCCGAUGGCAGAUUAGGUAGUUGGUGGGAUAAAAGCUUACCAAGCCGACGAUCUGUAGCUGGUCUGAGAGGACGACCAGCCACACUGGGACUGAGACACGGCCCAGACUCCUACGGGAGGCAGCAGUGGGGAAUUUUGGACAAUGGGCGCAAGCCUGAUCCAGCCAUGCCGCGUGCAGGAUGAAGGCCUUCGGGUUGUAAACUGCUUUUGUACGGAACGAAAAGACUCUGGUUAAUACCUGGGGUCCAUGACGGUACCGUAAGAAUAAGCACCGGCUAACUACGUGCCAGCAGCCGCGGUAAUACGUAGGGUGCGAGCGUUAAUCGGAAUUACUGGGCGUAAAGCGUGCGCAGGCGGUUAUGUAAGACAGAUGUGAAAUCCCCGGGCUCAACCUGGGAACUGCAUUUGUGACUGCAUAGCUAGAGUACGGCAGAGGGGGAUGGAAUUCCGCGUGUAGCAGUGAAAUGCGUAGAUAUGCGGAGGAACACCGAUGGCGAAGGCAA